rnacentral:rRNA from 1 species
GUGUGGGUCGGCUCGCGGGACCAUCACUCCACUCGAAGUCCAGCAUUGAGUAUGGCAUCACUGGAUUUGGCCCAUAGAGGGUGAAAGGCCCGUACGGGUGGAGGUUCAGACAUGUGAGAUGGUUCACCAGGCCGGCCUCAGAGUCGGGUUGUUUGAGAUUGCAGCCCAAAGAGGGUGGUAAACUCCAUCCAAGGCUAAAUACUGCCACGAGUCCGAUAGCGAACAAGUACCAUGAGGGAAAGUUGAAAAGUACUCUGAAGAGAGAGUAAACAGUACGUGAAGCCGCAUGCAGGUAAACGGGUGGCGUCAAGCUGCGAGCCCGGAGGAUUCAGCUGACUGGGAUGUAGUGUACGCGCGCCUGGUGCGUCGAGAGGCCGGAGUAAGAUGUGGCGGUCCACUCCUCUGUCGGGAGUGGGGCGCAAUCGGUGUGCGCUUGCGUGUACCGGUUGUCGCUAUGCAUGCCGGGUGGGUGCCGGAGCAUGCCGCUCGUCUGUUGGGCCACCUAGUCAGUGCAUUUUCUCCGUGGUGAACACCACGACCGGUGGAACUGCCAGUCUGCUGCGAGCAAGUCGUGUCCUCCUGGUGCGUUGCUGUGUUGGGUGGGCGCGAUCGCAGGCGGAGUGGGUGAACGGCGCAGUGGUGCCUCGGUACUGCCGCGUGCUAUCGUGCACUCCCCGUCGUAAGCGGUUAGUGGGUUUGACUAAGUGCUGUGACUACUUGCCCAUUAGCCGGCAGCUCGCAGUGGUGAAAGUGACUGUGCAGGGCACCGGAGUUGUCCACCUCAUUCAAUAUGGUAUCCGGCACGCACGUUACAGGUGCUGAGGAAUCGGGAUGCGCCGCUGUCUGCCUGGUGUUGGGCCUGACUGUCGUGUUGCCUGCGCAAAGUGGGUCCGGCGGUGGUUUCGAUGCUUGGUAUUAGCAGUGUGCCGCGUGUCUCGGGUGUCUGUGGUACCGGGGGUGAAAUAGUCAGUGGUGCUGUGGUAGACGAGCUACCCGACCCGUCUUGAAACAC